GACGAACGCUGGCGGCGUGCUUAACACAUGCAAGUCGAACGGAGUGGCGAACGGGUGAGUAACACGUGGGUGAUCUGCCUUGCACUUCGGGAUACGCUUGGGUAACUUGGUCUAAUACCGGAUAGUGCAAGAUGAGCUCGCGGCCAAUCAGCUUGUUGGUGGGGUAAUGGCCUACCAAGGCGUCGACGGGUAGCCGGCCUGAGAGGGGGUACGGCGACAUUGGGACUGAGGUACGGCCCAGACUGCAACGGGAGGCAGCAGUGGGGAAUAUUGCACAAUGGGCGGAAGUCUGAUACAGCGACGCCGCGUGGGGGAUGAAGGCCUUCUGGUUGUAAACGCCUUUCGACAGGGACGCGGUACCUACAUAAGAAGCACCGGCUAACUACGUGCCAGCAGCCGCGGUAAUAC
rnacentral:rRNA from 1 species